rnacentral:rRNA from 1 species
AUUGAACGCUGGCGGAAUGCUUUACACAUGCAAGUCGAACGGCAGCACGGACUUCGGUCUGGUGGCGAGUGGCGAACGGGUGAGUAAUGUAUCGGAACGUGCCCAGUCGUGGGGGAUAACGUAGUGAAAAUUACGCUAAUACCGCAUACGAUCUAUGAAUGAAAGCGGGGGAUCGCAAGACCUCGCGCGAUUGGAGCGGCCGAUAUCAGAUUAGGUAGUUGGUGGGGUAAAGGCCCACCAAGCCAACGAUCUGUAGCUGGUCUGAGAGGACGACCAGCCACACUGGAACUGAGACACGGUCCAGACUCCUACGGGAGGCAGCAGUGGGGAAUUUUGGACAAUGGGCGAAAGCCUGAUCCAGCCAUUCCGCGUGCAGGAUGAAGGCCCUCGGGUUGUAAACUGCUUUUGUACGGAACGAAAAGGUUUCUACUAAUACUAGGAGCUCAUGACGGUACUGUAAGAAUAAGCACCGGCUAACUACGUGCCAGCCGCCGCUGUAA